rnacentral:rRNA from 1 species
GACGAACGCUGGCGGCGUGCUUAACACAUGCAAGUCGAAGAUAGUGGCGAACGGGUGAGUAAUACGUGGGUAACCUGCCCUCCUUUUUGGGAUAAGCCUUGGAAACGGGGUCUACUACCGAAUAAAGGGGGAUGGGCUCGCGGCCUAUCAGCUUGUUGGUGGGGUGAUGGCCUACCAAGGCGGUGACGGGUAGCCGGCCUGAGAGGGGGACCGGCAAAAGUGGGAGUGAGAUACGGCCGAGACUCCUACGGGAGGCAGCAGGGGGGGAUAUUGCACAAUGGGCGAAAGCCUGAUGCAGCGACGCAGCGUGGGGGAUGAAGGCCUUCGGGUUGUAAACCUCUUUCGCCAGCGGAAUGGUAGUGGGUAAAGAAGCGCCGGCUAACUACGUGCCAGCCGCCGCGGUAAUAC